rnacentral:tRNA from 1 species
UCCCUGGUGGCCUAGUGGUUAGGGUUCUGUACUCUGACUGUGGUGGUUGGGGUUUAAUUCCCAGCUAGGAAA